CUCACCAGGUCAGGACACGGUAAGGAUUGACGGACUGAAGGCUCUUUCUCGAUUCCGUGGAAAGUGGUGCAUGGCCGUUUUUGGUUGGUGGAUCGAUCCGUCUGGUUAAUUCCGUUAACGAACGAGACCUCGGCACUCCGAAUAGCGCGGCGGACGUCGCGGCCUCCGGGCCGUCUUCCGCACGAGCUUCUUAGAGGGACCGUCCCCCGCCGGGGAAGGAGGUGCGAGGCAACGACAGGUCUGUGAUGCCCUUAGAUGUUCUGGGCCGCACGCGCAUUACACUGACGCGUCCAACGGGUGACUCCCGACCCGAAGGGGCCGGGGAAUCCGCAAGGCGCGUCGUGAUGGGGAUUGAACGUUGCAAUUGUUGUUCACGAACGAGGAAUUCCUAGUAGGCGCGGGUCAGUCAACCCGCGCCGAUUACGUCCCUGCCCUUUGUACACACCG
rnacentral:rRNA from 1 species